rnacentral:rRNA from 1 species
UACGGAGGGUGCUAGCGUUGUUCGGAAUUACUGGGCGUAAAGCGGGUGUAGGCGGAUUGCUAAGUCGGGGGUGAAAGCCCAGGGCUCAACCCUGGAAUUGCCUUCGAUACUGGCAGUCUCGAGUACAGGAGAGGUGAGCGGAAUUCCGAGUGUAGAGGUGAAAUUCGUAGAUAUUCGGAGGAACACCAGAGGCGAAGGCGGCUCACUGGACUGUCACUGACGCUGAGACCCGAAAGCGUGGGGAGCAAACAGG